rnacentral:lncRNA from 1 species
GUCAAAGAAUUCUCCUUUCCUCCAAGAUUAGGAGACUCGUGAAUAAUAAUAAUCGUAACAGUAAAAGUAACAUCUAUUCACAUUUUUACUUCUGUUUGCUGGGGAACUGCCAUUAUUGCAUUUAGUUUCCAUGACACCCUAUAUACUAAAGUACUAAAUAUACUAAUAUAUAUUUUACAGAUGGGAACCCGAUCGCCGUCAAGAUUAAGUGACUUAUCCAUGAAGAUAGACUAGUAGGAGAAAGAGCCAUUACUCAAAGCCUGGUGUUGACUGCACAUCAGGAGCCAAUACGCGGAGAAUCUGAGGGACCUUUCUGACAACGGCUGUUACCAGCGUGGGCCUGGGAAUGGGUUCACAUACAAUAGCUCAGGACAGACCAUGAGAAAGCAGGACUCACUCAAGACCUGUGGCUCAAGACAUCGUCUCCAAUGAGAACAGAACCUUGCCCAAAUAAGAUCACAUGUGGAACAAUGUUGACAAACAGUUCCCAUAGGCCGACUUUCCUGAAGCCGGUGGUGUCAGGUUUCGGCAGUGGUGCCUUUGCAACAUUGCAGUAAGAGCAGCAAGGGUCUGCAGCAGCAACAGGAACCAGUUCUGAGCUGUGAAUGCAGUGGGGUUUCCCCUGCAGCUUCCACCCAUCCUGCCUUGGACAUGCAGGCUCAGAAGUUACGGGGCAAAGAGCACUUCUUACUGCACAUGUCACACUGCGAAAUCAGACUCUGGAGCUGAGUGAUGCUGCCCCGUGGGAGAGCCAGCUUCUCCAGGUCCCACCACCGGCACCCCACACUGAAGUCCCACAGAGUAAGAAUAGAAGAAAUACAAGAAUCUUUUAGUUCCAGAAAGACUCAGGAGAGUCCUCUAAAAGCCCAAGCCAGAGGCCUCUCAGUCUGGCUCAGUGCUUGAGCUGCCCUCUGCGAGACACCCACAGCGCACCCCAGCUGAACAACUACAAUUAAAAUUGCCAGGUCGUCUCCUUCUGUCACAAAAUAAAAUGUGUUUUCAUGAGUUUUGCA